rnacentral:lncRNA from 1 species
ACAGUAUAAUAAAUUACAUUGGAGACAUGGUCGGCGGAAGAAAGGGUAAAGAGAUGGCUCGAUUAACAUUAAUAUCGAUGCUAUUUCUCUGGGCAGGAUCAAUGCUUAUGGUCCAGGGCGGAGAUCCCACCCUUUUUUUUGAAUGGAACGUCACCUAUGGCACCAUUGCUCCUUUGGGAGUGCCAGUAAAGGGUAUUCUUAUUAACGGGCAAUUCCCGGGACCAAAUAUUAACUCUACCACCAACAACAAUAUUGUGAUCAAUGUAUUCAAUAACCUUGAUGAGCCAUUCCUUGUAACAUGGUAAGCGACUAUCAAGAGUAUUUUCUUUUUUACAUUAAUAUGAUUAUGCUAGUGAAGAGUUGAGCUAAUUAUAUGUGGAAAUGGGAUUUGUUGCAGGAACGGCAUUCAGCAUAGGAAGAACUCUUGGCAAGAUGGUGUUCUGGGAACCAACUGUCCUAUCCCCCGUGGGAAGAAUUACACAUAUAAAUUCCAGGUGAAGGAUCAGAUUGGCAGCUACAUCUACUAUCCCGUGACGGCUAUGCAUAAGGCGGUUGGUGGUUUCGGUGGCCUCCGUGUUAACAGCCGUCUACUCAUCCCUGUUCCCUACGCUGAUCCGGCUGAUGACUAUACUCUCUUAGUGGGAGACUUUUUCAACAAGGGACACACCAGCCUCAAGAAGAUUCUUGAUAGCGGUCGCAACCUUGGGAGAUGUGACGGUGUCCACCUUAAUGGGAAAGUUGCGAAAGGUGAUGGGAAGGAUGAACCUCUGUUUACGAUGGAGGCAGGCAAAACGUACAAGUACAGGAUUUGCAAUACGGGUAUCAAGACAUCUCUGAACGUCAGGUUCCAAGGCCACACCAUGAAAUUGGUUGAGAUGGAGGGUUCCCACACAAUGCAGAAUGACUAUGACUCCCUUGAUGUGCACGUUGGACAGUGCUUCAGUGUGCUUGUUACUGCCAACCAGGAACCAAGGGAUUACUAUGUGGUGGCCUCUACCCGUUUUACCAAACGUGAGGUUACAGCAACUGGCAUCAUCCGUUACAAGAAUGGCAAGGGAGCUGCCUCAUCCGAGUUGCCACCACCACCUGUUGGUUGGGCUUGGUCACUCAAUCAAUUCCGUACCUUCCGUUGGAACUUGACUUCUAACGCUGCUAGGCCUAAUCCUCAGGGCUCCUACAAAUAUGGUUCUAUUAACAUUACCCGCACCAUCAAGCUUGCCAACACUGCACAAAGAGUAGAUGGCAAGCUCCGAUAUGCUCUUAAUGGAGUCUCCUAUGUCGAACCAACCACUCCACUAAAACUUGCAGAAUACUAUGGCGUAGCCGACAAGGUUUUCAAGUAUGAUACCAUUCCCGAUGAGCCUCCAAGUGACAACACUAAGGUAACUUUGGCACCUAUUGUCCUCAACAUGACACAUAGAAACUUUGUGGAAAUCAUCUUCGAGAAUCACGAGACCGCCAUUCAGUCCUACCACUUGUCUGGCUACUCAUUCUUUGCUGUGGGGUAAGUAUAGCUUCUAACAUAGCCAAUACAUGUGGUGAUUUGCUUGAGUUGAAGUAAUAAGUUGUAUAAUGAUUUGUCGCAGCAUGGACGUUGGGAAAUGGAGCCCCGAGAAGAGGAUGAACUACAAUCUUCUUGACGCCGUGAGCAGACACACCAUACAGGUAUUCCCCAACUCCUGGUCAGCAAUCCUAUUGACAUUCGACAACUGCGGGAUGUGGAACCUGAGGUCGGAGAUAUGGGACAGGCAUUACCUUGGGCAACAGCUUUAUGCUAGUGUUAUUUCCCCUAACCGAUCCCUCAAGGAUGAGUACAACUUACCGGAAGGUGUAUUGACUUGCGGCAUCGUGCAAGGCAUGCCAAGGCCUCCACCUUUCAGCAGUUAAUUUAAUUAAGCUUAUAAAUCUGUAUCCAAUUAUAGAAUAUGGGGAGAGAGAGGGUGAGAAAAGCUGAGUUCUGUAUAAUAUUUAAUGAAAUAAAAGCUUUUGGAUCACUUUAUUAUUACUAAUUUUCGUGUGUUGCCCUCGAAUAUACACGCAUUUAAGUUAUUUUCAAUAUAAAAAACUGAUAUUUUCAAAAUUGUACAAUAUUUAAAGAUGAAUGAUUUAAAAAAAUGGUUUAUACUACUAAUUAUUUUGAUAUUUUCAAAGUUGAAAUAAAUAAAUAAUUAAGUUAUAUUAACAAAGAAAUUUAAAAUAAAUAAUCUAUAUAUAUUUUGUUGAUAUAUUCAUCAAUAUAAAUAAAUCAUUCUGCUAUGGCGGUUCAACUUUGUGUUUUUUUUUAUUCAUUUAUUUUUGUAAAUUUCAAAUUUGUAUAUUAGAUAUGUACUACUACUAGAUAUGUCAAAUUGUAAAUAUUUAUUUGUCAAAAAGGCUCUUUAAAAAAUGAAAAAAAAAUUAAUUAAGUCAUCGUAUGCAAUUUGUACCUAAUUAAGUCCCUAUCAUUAAUUAAAAUAAUCAAUUAAGCCACAUAAAAUAAAUUGAUCAGAUAGAGAUAGUAAUAACUUCUAUAGUAAUCUAUUAUUUUUCCUAUAAAAAUAUUUAAAAAUUAGAAAAAUAUUAUAAAAAAAUAUAAAUACUAUUAAAUAUUAAAAAAAAUAAGAAAAUUGGUAUAAACUUAAAAAAUUAUAAAAUUAAUAAAACAUAUUUAAAAUAUUUAAAAUUUUAUAAAAACAUUAAAUUUAAAACUCUAUAAAAAUAAUAAAAAUUAUAAAAAAAUAUUAGAAGUAUUAAAUUUGAUAUAAACUUAUAAAAAAUGAUAAAAAAAUAAUAAAACUUGAUUUGGGUCGGAUUAGUCGGUUGGACCGGCUAGAUCAAAAUUGGCAAGAUAUCGAUCCAGAGAAAGCCAUUAGACCGAUUGAUAUUGGAACUGGAUGGUUGAACCGAUUCUUUAUCCUUUUAAUAUAUAUAUUUUAUUUCUUAAUGUUUUAUUUAAUUGAACUGGACGGAUCAGUCGAAAUGGUAAAUCAAUGGCUUAAUUUAAUUUUUUAGAAAAAUUAUUAGAUUAAACCAUAAGCUACAAUGUCUCAUCAACUAAUUGGCUUGUCAAUUUAUUUUAACCGUCAAUGUGAUCAAUCUCGAACACCGUUAAUUAUUUUAAUUAAUGCCAAGAACUUAAUUAGUUGCGAAUUUAAUAUAAAAAUAGGCUUUUUGACAUAUAAAUCUAUUGAAAAUAAGAUUAUUAUUAUUAUUUUUAUCUCCCAAUAAUUACAUGGAAUAUUUGAAAUUCAAGCACUCCCUAGAUGACUCAGCUUGGAGACUAGCAAAACCAAUAAUCAACAUAAAACUAGUCGGAUUUAAGGCACUCUUCGCACGAAGAUGGACAAAUUGUAGAUGAUUAAGAAAUUACCUUAAAUUUAUACCAUUUAAACAUGUCAUCUUAUUUCUCGAAUCAUCCUAAGACUUACAAAGUCUCCUAUAACUUAAGCAUAAGUCACAUAAUACUUAUAAUUUAGUCCCUAUUAAUCGAUUUCAAGCAUAUACCACUUCUGUAUCUUAGCCGCAUAACAUUUAUAUUUUAGUUUCUAUUUGUAAUGGCCCAAAUUUGCUGCCCAAAUAAACCAAAAAAAAAAACAUAAAUUAAACAAAAUUAUAACAGUCCCUUAAAUACUUUAGUCCAAUUACAAAAAACCAGUAGCCCCAUAGCCCAAAUAUAAGGGCCCACUAACUGGAACAGACCCAAACAGCCUUAAAUCGAUGCUCAGCUUUGGCAAACCCUAGGACAAAAGGGGUCCUCGAGUCGCAGCAACCUCAGCAGCCUCCAGGCACCGUACACUCCUCCUGGCGCCACGCACGCUCCCGUACAUACGCCAGCACCACCCCGUACGCCCCGCACCAAUUUGCCAGCGCAUGUCCUCUGCUCCGUACCUGCGAACAAGACAAACACAGCAACAAACAGAGACAAAAGAGAAAAUAUUAUUUUUCUUUUAUUUGUUUUUCUUUCGUUUCGGAUAUAAAGCCAGAAAAUGUUCAUUGUAAUGAAAAAAGGGGCGCAUUUACGCAACAAAAAUAUACAAACAGAUACUAUAAAGAGAGAUUUUUUUUACGAACACAAGCAAUACGAAUACUUACAAAAAAAAGCAGAGGUGAUUUCUUUUCUUCCUCGAAUCCUCUUAGUUUUCCAUAUAUCAUUGCGUUUUUGGUUUAGGGGUCAUUCACCAUUAUCGUUUUGAAAAUAAAGAGAUGAACAAAGGAACGGUGAAAGAGGAGCUUACCUUGCGAAGCUAGCCGUCGUCCCCCCUUUUACUUCGUCGAAAUCGAAGUCUGAAUGAGGGUUUCAAAGGCGAAAACCCCUCUUUUAGGGCUCGGAUGCGCAGACCGUCGCUCGUACUGACGAAUUAGUGCUAAAAGGAGCAUUUGGAGGUCGAUUGAGCAACGAGAGAGGGGAAGGGGCUAGGGUUCGGCUGAAUAACUCAGUCUUCAGCCCUUUUAAAGGGUUAAAAGCGAUGCCGUUUCAAGCCCAUUACAAUGGCUCAAAAACGACGUCGUCGGAUGGAGCCUCGAUCUGAUCCGUUUAGCUGCCCCGACGACCCGCGCGUUUUCGCGAAGAGGGUUUAUUUACAGCAUCGGUCCCUCCCUGUUGCACCAUGUUUCAUUUGGCUCUUAUUUAUUUUUUUAUUUUUAUUAAUUUAGCUAUGUAAUUUAUACACGUUUGCAAAUGGACCGGCGCUUGAAUACAGCCUUUUAGGAUCUGGUAUAUUGUCAGUUUUAGUCCCUAGCUGUUUCCGCGCAUGGACUAUUGGUCCCUCCACUGUUUUUGUUUAGUUUCAAUUUUACCUUGUGUGUUUUAGUUUAAUUUUAAUUAGGUCUUUUAUUUUAUAACUUUAUAAUUUCUUUUAUUUACUUACUAGUAUAUUUUCAAGCAGCUAUGACAGUCUUUUUAGUGUUAUAAAUUUGUUUUUUUUGUAAGAUUAUUAUCAUACUUCGUAUAUCUUGAAUGUUUAUUUCUUUAGUGUUAUUAGGCAUAUAUAUGUUUUACAAAAAAUCCUAAUGCUUCAUACAUCCAAUGUUUUAUUCUAAUUAUGUAUUUUAGCAUAUACUUUGUCACGAUAAUACAUUUUGUUUAUACACACAUGUUUUCCAUAAAAUUAUCUUUCCAUUUGCCUAUAUUAGUACAUAUAUUCGGCAUAUAUAUAUUUCAUUAAAUCUACACAUUAUCGUUCUUUAGGAAUUUACAUGUGUUCUCUUUGAAAUUUGUAUAUACAUAUACGCAUUAAUACCCUUUUUUUUAUUUUAAUAGAUUUUAUUUUAAAACACCUUUCGCUUUGUAAUUUACCAAACAUUUUCUAUAUAUAUAUGAAAUAAUGUUAAGAGCUUUUAAUUAUAAAAUUAUUAUUGUUAUCCAUGUUUUUAUUUCUUUAUAUUAUAUUGCUUUUGUGUUUUAUAUAGCCUAUUAUUUAAAUAUUUUGAUAUGAGGAUAGGUAUGUUUUUUUUAAAAACCAAUUUAAAAUUAUAUAUAUGUACUAAUUUUAAUCUCAUUCUUUUAUAAGUUUAUAUGUACAUUUUUUUUAUAUAAAUCUAUUUUGGGCCUCAUGUCUUUGUCAUAUUUUUUUUUUGUAUCAUAUAUUUUUUUGUCCUAUCAUAUAUUUUGUUAACUUUUAAAUAAAUUCAUGUUUAAAACAUGUUACAUGUAAUUUGAUUCAAAUUUUUAUUCUAUAAUAUUUGUUCCAAAAAAAUCAUAUAGCUAUCUAUAGCUUUCAUGCAAAUAUGUCGACUUAUGUAUGGGCCCAUUUAUUCGUUAUUAUUUAAAAAUCAUUUUAUAGUGCAUUGGUUGCUAAUUGCUAUAUUAUUUUUCAUAUCUUGUAUCGGUUAAUCUAUAUCAUAUGUUGUUUAUUAUUGUGGCAUACUAUCGUAUGUUUUGUUUCGCUUGAAUGGUUGUUAUAUUAUCAUCUUUGUCAUUGUAUUAUUAUCCUCCAUGCGCUAUUGUAAUCAGGUUGCGUUUUUUUAGGAUUAGCUAUACCUUUUUUAUUUUUAAUCGAUUGUAUCUCAUAUGCACGUUUACCCCAUCCACCGAUUUUAUUUGAUUUUCGAAAUGUGGUUUUAUAAAAUCUAAAUUUUAUGAUUAAUUUCGUCCUAUUUCAAAUCGAAUUAAUAGGUCUUAAGCUAGCUUUAUAAUCAUUCAUUCAAAAGUUCUUCAAAACGAAGACGAGAUUCGAUGUUUGGCAAUUCGCGGAAUCGUGCCCUAACGUGUUGGGUUGCAAUUUCGCGUUUGCUCAAAAUAAUCGAAUAUCACUUCGAAAUUUCACUCGCGUCUUUUAAAAUUCUUCAAAACGAAGACGAGAUUUGAUACUUAGCAAUUCGCGGAAUCGUGCCCUAACGUGUUGGGUUGCAAUUUUGCGUUUGUCCAAAGUAAUCGAGCAUCCCUUCAAAAUUUCAUUCAUGUCUUCUAAAAAUUAUUUAAAACGAAAGCUAUAUUCGGCGUUUGACAAUUCGAGAAUCAUGCCCUAUCGUGCUGGGCUGUGAUUUCUCGUUUGUUCAAAACGAUCGAAUAUUCUUUUGUAUUAUCACUCAUGUUUUUAAAAAAUAAAAAAUAAAAAAUAUAAAUACUUAAAAACGACGAUGAUAUUCAAUGUUUGGCGAUUUGAGAACCGUGCCCUAUCGUGCUGGGUUGCGCUUUUUCAUUGGUCCGAAACAAUUGAAAAUCCCUUCGGAAUUUCCCUCACAUUUUCUAAAAUCUUUCAAAAUGAAGGCGAUGUUCGAUGUUUGGCGAUUUGAGAAUCGAGCCCUAUCGUGUUGGGUUGCGCUUUUUCAUUUGCCCAAAAUAAUCGAAUAUCUCCUCGGAAUUUUCACACAUAUUUUAUAAAGUAAGGCAAUGAUCAAUAUUUGGAAAUUCGAGGAAUCGUACCCUACUGUGCUGGGUUUCGAUUUUUUGUUGGACUAAAUAAUUGAGCUUCCUUCGGUAAUUCUCAAAUUACAUACUUUCGGACAUCGAAACAAGAAAUUUUGACAACUAACUCGGAUUACUCAAACGUUAUAAAAGGAACCACAUUUCAAAAACUUUUAAUUUAGACACAAGGACAGUAUUUAAUCGAUUUGGUACCAAUUUUGGGCGUAGUGAGGGUGCUAACCCUUCCUCAUACGUAACCGACUCCCGAGCCCAUUUUCUCACACUUUCGUAGACCAUAAUCGGUGUUUUAGUAAACCGAAAAUGUUUUAUUAAAAUAACCAAAUUCUUAGGUGACCCGAUCACACCAAAAUAAAAGGAUCGGUGGCGACUCCAUAUUUCUAUUUCCCAAAUAGUCGAUUUCCUCAUUUUUUAAAAAAUUUUUAAAAUAUUUGAAUAAAAAGGGUGGUUUCGACACUAUUAAUAGAUUUUAGAUUCAACGGUGAAUACGCAGAUUAGUAUAUUAAAUUACCUAAUAACCCAACAAAGAAUUAGAGUUAGUGAUGUGUCCUAAUACUCAUUACACCGAAAUGCCAAAAUAGUUCUCAUUCUUAACAUCAUUAAACAUAAAUUUACAUAUCUUUAACCCCUUUCGUAAUAUUUUCAUGAUCAUAAUCCACAUCACAAAUAUAUACACAUAUGAAUAUCAUCACAACCAUUGCCAUCAAAGUCAAUUAAGCUAUCAUGCCUUUUAUGACAACAUUCAUUAAUAUUAAUUCAUUAAACUUAGCUGCUUAAUGAGUUAAUAACACAAGAUUACAAACCAAAUUCAUUUUUCAUCCUUGGAUUCUUGACGUCCUGGUCUUGUUUCUUAACUUUGUUCAAAUAAUUCAAUUAUUAGUACGAGCUAGUGGCCUAUUCAAAUACAUCAAACUAUUCAAUUAAACAUAUGUAAUUUUUCAACUUAGUCUUUUUAUACCCUAAUGUCCGAUUUUCGUAUAUCUCAAAAUUUUCCCGCUCGAAUCAAUUCGACUUUAUAACUAUACUCUAAGGCCUCAAACUAUCUAUAAAACACCAUUUUUGUUCAAAGUUCUCAACAAUCUCAUUCAAGCUCCCAAGAACUCAUCAAUGACUAUAUUAUCUAUGUUUAAUCAAGUCUUGUUUCUACACAUCCCACUUCAUUUCUAGCAUGUUUUCCACCAAAGUUCAAGCUUAACACUAGAUAUUCAUGGAUUCAAGCUUUCAUUCUCUAAGUUCUCUAAUGCUUAGGCUAUGUUCAUCAACUAUCAUAUAUAAACUAAGAUUUUAACAAAUUCAAGUGAAAAGUUCACCUUCCUUAGUAAUUUGAUGGACGACAAUGGAAGAGUAACCUAAAGAAUUUCUUUCUUUCUUUUGCUUCUCUCACCAAUUCAACACAUAUAUAUAUAUACAUAAUUAAUCUAAUUCCUCAUUAAUCUAAUGGCUAGAAUUGAGCUUAAACAAUGGUCAAUAGAAAUGAAUGGCAAGGAUCAACCAAGCCACUAACUAAGAAUAAAUCUUGGUUUAACAGCACUAGAGGUGUACAUGGGCCGGGCCGGGGUGGGUUUAGGUCGGGCUCAAUUAAAAAUUUAGACUCAUUUGAUAGGUUUGGGCCCGGCCCGGCCCAGAAAAUGGGCCUAAAAAUUUGCCUAAGCCCUACUUGAAUAAAAAUGUUAAAACCCGGGCCUGACCCAGCCUGUCCAUAGUAAUUUUUAUAUUAUUUUUUAUAUAAUUUAAAAAAUAUAUAAUACAUCAAAAAUACUAAAAACAUGAAAAUAAAUAUUUCCCAACAAAUUGAAAAUAAAUUUUAAAAAAAUAUGUAUACUUAAAUAACACUAAGAUAGAUGCAACUUAAUAAGCAAAUGCCUCUAAAAUAAUAACAAAAUUAACAAAUAUCUUUAAAAUAAUAGCAAAAUUAACAAUAAGAUAAGUUUUAUACAAUAUCCAAACAAUAACAACAAAAUAGUAGCAACAUAAUAGUAAAAUGGUAGCAAAAUAGGGAGAAAACAUUAAGAAAUAAUAAUUAAAAAAAAUAUUUUUUGUCCUUUAGUGAAUUCGGGUAGGGUCAGGCCAAAAAUGCCUUACCUGAGGCCCGACCCAUUUUUUAAACAGGCCUUAUUUUUUUAUCCAAGCCCAUUUUUCGAGCCUAUAUUUUUGCUCAAACCCUCUCACAUUUCAGACUGGUCUUCGAGCUUGGCUGAGUGGCCCGACCCAUGAACAAGUCUAAACAGUACUUAGGUUCUUGGCAUAAUUACCACUGGCAAAUUUGUUUAAUUCUUAAAUCAAUUCUCUUUAUUUUAUUCACCUUACAAUUUAGUCUUUGAUCAAUAAUUACUAUUCUUUCAAUCUAGUCCUUGUACUUAAUAAUUUAUCUAAUUUAAUCACUUAAUAAUUCUAAUUUCUAAUUUCAUGUUCAUCUUGUAAAUGUCUCGAUUUAAUAUUUUUGGACUAGUUCGGCUUCGAGAAUUUAGCCUCGAAAUCAAAUUUUUUGACCCUAAUGAAAAUCAGAAUGUUAUAUGCAAAAUGCUCGACAUCCUGCAAGGUCUCCAUAAUAGAUUUCUUCAUAUUUGUGUCAUUGUUGCUCAUGUCUGAUCCACCUCUAGUAUUCACUUCAACCGUAACAAUGGUCAUAUUUGUUGCCAUGAGUGAUGUGGAAAUUUUUUUUAAAAUGUCAUUAAGUAAUUUGAAAUAGACCAUGAAUAAUGUGGUGGAAAGAGUUAAUAAAAUAAUUUCUCCACAUUUUGGGUGAUCAAUAUUUAAUUUAUUAUAAAAUUUCUCGUAGAUGAUGUCACAAAUGAAUUUGUUAUGUAUGCGUAAACUCUUGAAAAAAAAAACUAAUUAUAUUUUUUUCAAAUUAUAUUUUUUUGUCAUAAUUUAAGCUUUCAUAUAAGGUUAGUUUCACAUUAAUACAAUUUCUAUUUUUAAAAAUUACAAUAGUUUAUCUAUAUCUAUAAUAAAAGAAUAAAUAAAAAGGUUAAAAAAAAAAGCACUAAAGUAUUUUUCAUAGAAGCAACUACUUUCCUAAAGAAAAGGUUAGCCAUCCAUAUAGUGAAUAUUCAAAUCCUUGUGAUAACAGAAAAGAAUGAUUCAACAUUGUAAAACUAAAAAUGGUUAGUGCUAAAAGGAAGGAAAUAAAUGAAUGGAUGAGCUUAUUAUAAGGGAUUAAGAUGGAAGAAUGGAAGAGGGGAUUGUGUGGUAUAAAAGGAGAGGUAUGCAUGCAAUUCAAAAUCAACUCAAGCUAAUCAUCUCCCUCUUCCUCUAGAGGGGAUAAACAGUAUAAUAAAUUAUAUUGGAGGCGUGGUCGGCAAAAAAAAGGGUUAAGAGAUGGCUCGAUUAACAUUAGUAUCGAUGCUAUUUCUUUGGGCAGGAUCAAUGCUUAUGGUCCAGGGCGGAGAUCCCACCCUUUUUUUCGAAUGGAACGUCACCUAUGGCACCAUUGCUCCCUUGGGAGUGCCAGUAAAGGGUAUUCUUAUUAACGGGCAAUUCCCGGGACCAAAUAUUAACUCUACCACCAACAACAAUAUUGUGGUCAAUGUGUUCAAUAACCUUGAUGAGCCAUUCCUUGUAACAUGGUAAGCGACUACCAAGAGUAUUUUCUUUUUUACAUUAAUAUGAUUAUGCUAGUGAAGAGUUGAGCUAAUUAUUUGUGGAAAUGGGAUUUGUUGCAGGAACGGCGUGCAGCAUAGGAAGAACUCUUGGCAAGAUGGUGUUCUGGGAACCAACUGUCCUAUCCCCCCUGGGAAGAAUUACACCUAUAAAUUCCAGGUGAAGGAUCAGAUUGGCAGCUACAUCUACUAUCCGGUGACGGCUAUGCAUAAGGCGGUUGGUGGUUUCGGUGGCCUCCGUGUUAAUAGCCGUCUACUCAUCCCUGUUCCCUACGCUGAUCCGGCUGAUGACUAUACUCUCUUAGUGGGAGACUUUUUCAACAAGGGACACACCAGCCUCAAGAAGAUUCUUGAUAGUGGUCGCAACCUUGGGAGAUGUGACGGUGUUCACCUUAAUGGGAAAGUUGCAAAAGGUGAUAGGAAGGAUGAACCUCUGUUUACGAUGGAGGCAGGCAAAACGUACAAGUACAGGAUUUGCAAUACGGGUAUCAAGACAUCUCUGAACGUCAGGUUCCAAGGCCACACCAUGAAAUUGGUUGAGAUGGAGGGUUCCCACACAAUGCAGAAUGACUAUGACUCCCUUGAUGUGCAUGUUGGACAGUGCUUCAGUGUGCUUGUUACUGCCAACCAGGAACCAAGGGAUUACUAUGUGGUGGCCUCUACCCGUUUUACCAGACGUGAGGUUACAGCAACUGGCAUCAUCCGUUACAAGAAUGGUAAGGGAGCUGCCUCAUCCGAGUUGCCACCACCACCUGUUGGUUGGGCUUGGUCACUCAAUCAAUUCCGUACCUUCCGUUGGAACUUGACUUCUAACGCUGCUAGGCCUAACCCUCAGGGCUCCUACAAAUAUGGUUCCAUUAACAUUACCCGCACCAUCAAGCUUGCCAACACUGCACAAAAAGUAGAUGGCAAGCUCCGAUAUGCUCUUAAUGGAGUCUCCUAUGUCGAACCAACCACUCCACUAAAACUUGCAGAAUACUACGGCGUAGCCGACAAGGUUUUCAAGUAUGAUACCAUUCCCGAUGAGCCACAAAGUGACAACACUAAGGUAACUUUGGCACCUAUUGUGCUGAACAUGACACACAGAAACUUUGUGGAAAUAAUCUUCGAGAAUCACGAGAGCGCCAUUCAGUCUUACCACUUGUCUGGCUACUCAUUCUUUGCUGUGGGGUAAGUAUAGCUUCUAACAUAACAAAUACAUGUGGUGAUUUGCUUGAGUUGGAAGUAAUAAGUUGUAUAAUGAUUUGUUGCAGCAUGGACGUUGGGAAAUGGAGCCCCGAGAAGAGGAUGAACUACAAUCUUCUUGACGCCGUGAGCAGACACACCAUACAGGUAUUCCCCAACUCCUGGUCAGCAAUCCUAUUGACAUUCGACAACUGCGGGAUGUGGAACCUGAGGUCGGAGAUAUGGGACAGGCAUUACCUUGGGCAACAGCUUUAUGCUAGUGUUAUUUCCCCUAACCGAUCCCUCAAGGAUGAGUACAACUUGCCGGAAGGUGUAUUGACUUGCGGCAUCGUGCAAGGCAUGCCAAGGCCUCCACCUUUCAGCAGUUAAUUUAAUUAAGCUUAUAAAUCUGUAUCCAAUUAUGGUAUAUGAGGAGAGAGAGGGUGAGAAAAGCUUGAGUUCCAAAUGUAUUUAAUGAAAUAAAAUGUUUUGGACCAUAUGUUUAUACUCAAAUCAUGCGCAAGCUUUCAACAAUUUCAUUGCUGCCAUGUUUUAAUUCUAGUUACUUUGUUCAUUAUUAAAAUCAUAUAAUACCUUAAUAAGAAAAACCAUCACAAAAUAGUAUGCAUCACGAAAAUAAUUAAUGAAUAGACCAACAUUCUGUUAUCUUCUUCCCUUUUCUAUUUUCUGCUUUCUGUUUCGGUUCAUAACAGAACCAGGAGACUAAACAUCCCUCAGUCCACUCCUGCAAGGUAAGAUUCUCCCAAGAAAUUUACUACUGCCAAAGAAAGAGCAAACAAUUUUGUCAACUGUCUGCACCAACAGAUAUUUGCUUGUUGGUAUUUUGGAUGAGAGAUGAGUGAAGUUAGCAGUUUCUUGAGCUAGAAGGCUCGAUACUUGCUAAACAAACAAAACAGAAUUGAGCUUGAAGAACAAGAAUAAAUGCAAAGAAAGAGAGAACUGAAUGAAUAAUUCUGAUGAUUUUUCAUUAACCUUGAAAGAUGGCAUAAUGCCAAUACAUAUACCAGGCAUAAGCUAGUCAAAGGUAAGCAAAUUUUCACCUAAACAUUACCUACUACCACUUAGUAACUUUGAAACUUAUAAAACAUAACUUGUACACUUUGUAAAGCUGAUUUAUCAGCUCAAAUGUCAACAAAAUUACAUUCAGUACAUUAACAACUUAGUUCUAAUUUAACUAAGUUACAAAACAUCAAUUGAGGUAACAAAACAAAAUGGAAUUGAACAGCAGCAUCAACUUCAACUGCAACUGCAUGGCUCGGGCUGCUUCUCUGCAACUUGGCUGCAUGCAGGCCAACUUCAACAGCUCUGUACAAAGAAGCACUUCAUUGAGUAGAAUGACUUGCUACAAUUUGUUGCUUUUGUAAAACCAUAUGCCGAGGAAGGCGUUUAUGGGUUUUAUGUCAAUAUUCUCGAGUCUGUCAAUAAGUCUUGGAGCAAGCUCUUCCACAAAGAUUAUGUUCGAGGAAGAUAGUAUAAUUUUGGCCCUACACAAAUUAGGGAGCUAUUGCUUCACUCAUGCUUGAUAGAUGUCAAGCUAGAUGAAUUUUAUGAUACAAUGGUCAAAACCAUCACCAAUGGAGUUCAUCUUACCUUGCCCCUAAGCAACUGAGCCACAAGCUUCUACUCUAGAGCCCACUUAUGCUGGCCUGUUUGCUAUUGCAACCAGAAACUGGAUUCCUAAUAGCCAAACGAAUACAGUUACAAAGAAGAUGGUUACUCUGCUUAGGAAGAUUUGUGAUGUGAUUCAAUUUUCACUUGGGAGAGCUUAUUUUUCAGGAAAUCAUCAAACAUACUAAUUUUGUUUACCCCAUGUUAUAUCUUUCUUUCCUUUCACUUAUUUUUCAGAUACUUUAUAAUCAAAAUCCUGAAAUUGUAUUGGCUACUGAAAAAUAUGAAAGGAAGCCUAUAGAGUUGAAGUAUUCAUACAAGUGGCUUGAAGGGAAACACCAGGUUGCACUCCCUGAAGCUGUUCCUGAUGUUGUGGCUCAGCCUGUUGGAGUUGGCACAAAGGAAGACAUUUCAUCUCAGCUCUCAGCCUUUGAACAAAAGAUCCUCCAACAUCUUGAUGCUGAGAUUGCCUCCCAAGAAAAGGUCAUUUAACAACUUCAAGCCAAUGUUCGAAGAGUCAAAGCAUUGUGGAAUGAUCUCCUGGCCAAGCUGCUUCAGUUGGGUUUGGAAAAUCUCUUGAACUAAAAGGGGGAGUGGUAUAAAGGACUUGGCACUACAGGUGACACUACUGCAAUUAGUAUCAUGUUUUUUCUUUUCUUAGUAUGAUGAUUUUUCUGUGCCACAAUCACCAUAAACUUAGGGCAUGAGGGGAUGAAAUAAUUUACCACCAUAAUAUUGGGGUUCCAAUUCUCAUCAAAGAAUUUGCAACCCUCAGUUUCAGAAGCUAUUUGCCAAAUGAAAUUUGUUUUAUUUUAAUGUUUUUGGGUUAUAAUUUUGAAGACUCUUAACUUGAAUUAUGUUUAUUUUAAUUGAUAUUUUGUGAACCUUUAUCCUAUCUAUGAUAUAAAUUCCAGUACUUUGGUUAUAAAGGCUAUUCUCACUACUUAUGCAUUAAUGAUUAUUUUGUUAGUAUUAAUUGAAGUAUGAUGGAUUAAGGGUGACCUAAAAUGAAAAAUUUUCAUUUAGGUCCUUUUUUAAAUUAAUAAAAGUAAAAUUACAUGUUGACCCCCUUAAAGAUGAUGAAAAUUUGAUUUAAUCCUAUAAAAAAUAUAAAGAUAUUAAUUAUUAAAAUUAUAAAAUUACACUUUUAAUAUCGUAAAAAAUUACAAUUUAAUUUUAACCCCUAAAUCCUUGAUUAUUUAGGGAGAGCAUUUGUUAUAGUGAAAUUACUAAUACCAAACAAAUUUUCUAUUUAAUGUUGAUUUUUGUAUGAUUAAUAUUUAACCAUCAUAAUUUCAAUUCUGAUUAAAAUUUAAAUAUUUAACUAUAUUUUUUUAAUGUAAAAACUUUGAACCAUUAUAUAUAUAUUGGAUUGAAAUAGUAGAGAUUUUCGAUUAAUUCGAAAAUUUACUUGUAUGACAAAUAAAAUAAUAGAUUCAACAAUUAAAAACAUUAAUUAACUUUUAUUUGUUAAUAAUUCGUUAAUUUAUGUAAGUUUUUACAUAUUUAUCUAUUUGGAUUGUGAUUGUAUUAUUUUUUCCAUUAUAUCGUAUUAUUGAUAUUAUUUACGAAAAAACUAUAUUUUAAAAAAAUAAAAUAAAUUUCACACACACUGUAAAUAGAAAAAAAUGAAAGAAUUUAUUAUUGAAUGAAGUAAUAUAUUCUGAUAUUACAUCAAGAAAAUUAAUUUAUUGGAAAAGUCAGCAUUAGUCACUACAAAGGCCGUUUUAUGUGUAUUUGAAGCAGAACUGGUUCCAGGUUUAUAUAAGCUUUAAAUUAGGUGUAAGCUGGUGGUGGCCUUGGCAUGUUUUCCACAACACCGCAAACUAGUGCACCCUCAGGCAUGUUGUAUUCGUCCCUGAGUGAUUUGUUAGGGGAAAGAACACUAACAUAAAGCUGUUGCCCAAGGUAACGCCUGUCCCAUAUCUCUGACCUGAUGUUCCACAUUCCACAGUUGUCGAAUGACAAUAGGAUAGCUGCCCAGGACUUGGGGAAAACCUGUAUGGUGUGUCUGCUCACGGCAUCAAGAAGAUUGUAGUUCUUCCUCUUCUCAGGGCUCCAUUGCCCAGUCUCGACACUGCAACAAAUGAUUAUAGAAUUUAGUUAAACGGAAAGUAAUGACUAUAUACUAGAAGAAUUUAAAGACCAAAUACUUACGCCACAGCAAAGAAGGCAUAGCCACACAAGUGAUAAGACUGGAUGGCUGUUUCGCGAUUCUCGAAGACGAUUUCCAUAAAGUUUCUGUGUGUCAGGUUGAGGACAACAGGUUCCAUGGUUAUUUUAGUGAUCUCAGCUGGUGGGUCAUCAGGAAUGGUAUCGUACUUGAAAACCUUGUCAGCUACGCCGUAGUAUUCUGCAAGUUUUAGUGGAGUGGUUGGUUCGACAUAGGAGGCUCCAUUAAUAGCAUAUCGAAGCUUGCCAUCUACUUUUUGAGCAGUGUUGGCCAGCUUGAUGGUACGGGUAAUGUUAACGGAACCAUAUUUGUAGGAGCCCUGAGGGUUAGGCCUAGCAGCGCUGGCAGUCAAGUUCCAACGGAAGGUACGGAAUUGAUUGAGUGACCAAGCCCAACCAACUGGUGGUGGUGGCAACUUAGGUGAGGGUGCGCCCUUGCCAUUGGUGUAACGGAUGACACCAGUUGCUGUAACCUCUUGUUUGGUAAAACGGGUAGAGGCCACAACAAAGUAAUCCUUUGGUUCUUGGUCGGCUGUAACAAGCACACUGAAGCACUGUCCAACAUGAACAUCAAGGGAUUCAUAGUCAUUUUGCACUGUGUGGGAACCCUCCAUCUCAACCAAUUUCAUGUUGUGGCCUUGGAACCUGACGUUCAGAGAUGUCUUGAGACCCGCAUUGCAAAUCCUAUACUUGUAGGUUUUGCCUGCUUCCAUGGUGAAGAGAGGUUCAUCGCUACCAUCACCUUUAGCAACUUUUCCAUUAAUGUGGACACCAUCACAUCUACCAAGGUUACGGCCGCUCUCAAGAAUUUUCUUGAGGGUGGUGUGUCCCUUGUUGAAAAAAUCUCCUGCUAUGAUAGUAUAGUCAUCAGCUGGAUCAGCAUAGGGGACAGGAAUGAGUAAACGACUGUUAAUACGAAGGCCACCGAAACCGCCAACCGCCUUAUGCAUACCCGUCACUGGAUAAUACAUGUAGCUGCCAAUUUGGUCCUUCACCUGGAAUUUAUAGGUGUAAUUCGUCCCGGGGGGGAUAGGACAGUUGGUUCCAAGCACACCAUCUUGCCAAGGAUUCUUCCUAUGCUGUACGCCACUCCUGCAACAGAUUUCAUUUCCAUAUAUAUAUAUAUAUGUAAUUAAGCUCAACUCUUUACUAAUAUAAUCAAAUGGGAAAAAAAGUAAUCUGGUUUACCAUGUCAAAAGGAAUGGCUCAUCAAGGUUGUUGAACACAUUGACUAUAACAUUGUUGUUGGUGGUAGAGUUAAUAUUUGGCCCAGGGAAUUGCCCGUUAAUAAGAAUACCUUUAACGGGAACACCUAAAGGAGAUAUAGUGCCAUAAGUGACCUUCCACUCGAAACUAAUGGUGGGAUCUCCACCUUGAACCAUAAGCAGUGAUCCUACCCAGAGGAAAAACACCGCUAUUAUCGUCAAUGGAGCCAUUUUAUUGGCUUCAAAUUCUCUUAUAUAAUUUUAUAAAUUAAGACUGUUUAUCCCCUCUUAGAGGAAGAAGAUUUGUUUGAGAUGAUUUGAGUUGCAUGUUGGCUUACCCUUUUAUACAACACAACUCCUUCUAAUACAAUCAUUCUUCAUCAUUCAAUUUUUCUCUUGAAAUCCUUAAAUUGAGCACAUCCAUUUGUUUCUUUACUUUAUUUUAGUACAUACUAUUUUUAACAUUAAGCGAUUUGAUUUUACCAUAAUUCUCUUUUGUUCUAAUAUAAUAUUUGCACAUUCAUUGUGUGGAUGGCUAAUAUUUCAUGACUAAUACAUCUUUAUCAAAUAAGUUUCAAAAUACUUAAUCCUUACCAUAACCAUUUAUUUAAUUACAUGGACGAUAUAAACGUGAACAAAACACAAAUAAAAAUUUAACAUGAAACCAAACCAGCAUUAGAAAAAAAUCAUAUAUAAGCAGUAUUCUAAAUUUAUAAAUAUAUAUUAUUUUUAUAUAUUCACAUGAUAGCUCAAUUUUUUUUCUAUAUUUUUAAAAUUAAAAUUUUAGUUUUAUAUAGAUUUUUAUAUACAUUAAUUUAUAAAUGUACAUAUCACUAUUAUUUUUAUAUAUUCACAUCAUGCUCAAAUUCUUUUUCCUAUAUUUUUAAAUGUGAAAUUUUGGUUUUCUAUUCUUUUAUAUGUUGGGCACACGAGAAACUUGGGUUUGUGCUCAGUGUUUUGGGUUGAAGCUUGGAUAAAAGGGCUUAAAAUAUUGCAUAGAAUAAGGGGUUUCACAGAGUGGGAGUUGAAAACAACAAUGCUGAGCUUUUUUCUUUACUUGAUGACCAAAAUGGAGAGCCAAGUUGUGAAGCCCAUGUAAGACACAUCCAAAUUCUUUGCAAUCACAAAUUGAAACUUACAUAAAUAUAGAGGCAGAUUGUUAGGGAAAAAUGAGCUUUCUUUUUCUCUGCCAAAGUAAAUUUUAUUUCGUAUAAAUACCAAUGAUCAGGCCUUUCAGAGGCACAUUGGUUGAGAUAUCCUUUUAUAUGCUAUAAGUCUCGAUUGCUCAUUUUCCUUUUCUGUCUCAUACCUCCUCUCUCUAUCGUUGUGCCCAUCAACACACUUUGUUUCCCUACUACGAUUGCACAGCUCAUUACUACCUUCUGAACGUUCCACAACCAUAUUUGACACAGUUACCCCUAUUUUCAUUUUAUUGGACUAAUGAGCAAAAUUUAACACCCUUUAUGUUACUUGAAAUUUCAUCGUCACUUUUAUCCGAAUGCCUACUAGCCCUCCUGCACCAAUGAUCAUCACAACCUAACAGAGGUCAAACUUCACUAGAGGUAAAGCCACCAUCAUAGCCAAGGACAUUGGACUCACAUUAUCUAGAUUUGCAAUUAAUUCGUUGACGUCCUCUUCACUUGAUGAACGAAUCACUUCAACUUCUAACACUUUCAGAUCAAUAUUUCAAGCCAACCACUUUUAUUUGGAUUUGCAGAACAACACUUACCUUACUCUGUAGUCUCUGAUACUUUCACCACUUCCUCAUUCUCACCUUGGACAAUCUUCAUGUCUCUGAUCCAUCUAUUUAACUAAGUUCUUUGUGCUGGUUUCUUUGAGGACACUCUUCUAAGAGUAAUUGAUGUGCUAAGUGAAGAUAUUAGGAAUUUUUAGCUCCUACACUCUAAUAUUUUUUGCAUUAUGUCUAGUUGAGCCUUCCUUUGUAUGAAAAAAAAAACCUAGUUUAAUCUAAUAGUUGAAUCUCAAACUUAAAGAGUUGUUAUUCACUUUUCAAGCAACCACUAACAUAUUAUGGAAAUUAGAGUGACAGAAACAAGGUAGCUGAUUCAUUGUCCAAACUACAAGUUUCAGAAGAUUUUGGAAUAAAGUGCUCACUCGACCCCUCAGAGAAAUCGAUACGUUAUUGUUAUUAGACAAAUUGGGGUCAUACCAUCCCAAUGGUAUUUUGAUGUAGAACAGUAAUGCCUAUUUGAAUUUCCCUUGUAUUUGAACUCUAUAAUUUUCUUUUAUAUAAUUUAGUCAUUGAUUUAUUUGGAUAGGUAUUAAAGUAAAUUUCGAUGAUUGGAAUUAUAAUUAGUAAAAGUUCUUUGUGGGAUCGAUAUUUUAUACCAUUUGUAAUGAUACAUAUACUUGUGUGUGUGAUAUUCGAUCAAGUUCAAAGCACCUUUUGUUUAGAGUAAUGGUGUUUCACGAAUAACUAUAUUUAGAACAAUUUCUAUUUAGUAGAAUUGUGUUUAUUCACAAUAAGUUCUACCAAACAGAACAUUACCAUAGAACAACUUUUGUUUGGAACAAAUAAGAAUAACCAUUAUUUAUGAACAACUCUCGUUCGAGAACAUCCAUUGUCUUGCAUUCGAAGAGAUGUUCCGAGGUAAAUGUUUCACAAGAUGCGGCUUCACCAAAGUAGAAGAAGUGGAAAUAACCUCGAAAUAUGACAGAGUUCUUAGAUUGUCUUCACUCUUAGGAUUUUUCGGAGAACUUGGCUUGGUAAAUUAAAUACGGAGGUAGGUAGGAGGUUUCCUCUUAACAUUCUCCUAUAACAUUGAGUGUUUUUCCUUUCUUUCAAAAAUAUGGUGAACACUUCUUCAAUAUUCAUCAUUAUCAUCACCAAAAAAGUCAUUAACCAUCCCGUCUUAACAAUUAUUGCCAUUCUAAUUGAAAACUAAUUUCAUUACUCAUAUUAAAUACCUAGUAUAAAUAUGAGCCCAUCACAUCUAUUUGAGUGACUUUUUGGCACUUUGGUAUUCUAAUUCUCAAAGCUCUCUAAAAUUCUUUCUACUUUUUUUUGUUGUUUAGCCUCAUCAUCAACCACAAUUCCCUUUCUCUUGCUUAUCAAACAUCACCUGUCGCUGUAACUAAUGUUAUAAGAUCUGCUCUAGUAUUCAUCUCUGCCUUUUUUCGAUACAUUAUGUUCACUUAUUUGCAAAGCUUGCUCUGAACCCUUUACAAUGUUUUAAUUUUAUAUAUAUUUAAUAUAAAUUCUCUCAUAGGAUGUCACAAAUGGAUAUAAUGUUAUAAUCUCUCCAAAAGAAUAAAGUUAAUUAUAAAUUUCUUUUCACAUUAUUUAUUCAAUAUGAACUUUUUAUGGUGGUCUUAAUUUAAUUAUAUAUAAAAUUUCACUUAAUAUCAAGUGUCUAGCAAUAAUGAUUAUAUAAUAAUGGAGGUUAAUGUUACUUUAAUACAUUUAUUUUAAAAAUUAUCAUAUUUAUAUAUUUAAAUUAAGAAAAUAACUAUAAAAACUCUCAUCAAAGUAACCAUUACCCUAAAAAAAUGUUAGCCAUCAGCAUAGUGGAUGUGAAAAUCCUUGAUGGAAAAGAAGAGAAUGAUAAAAUCAAAUUGAUUAGUGUUAAAAACAGUAUUUGCUAAAAGCCAGGAAAUAAAUGAAUGGAUGAGCGUAUUCUAAGGGAUUAAGAUGGAAGCAUUGAUGAGGGGAUUGUGUGGUAUAAAAGGAGAGGUAUGCAUGCAAUUCAAAAUCAACUCAAGCAAAUCAUCUUCCUCUUCCUCUAGAAGGGGAUAAUUAAUAAAUUACGGUUGGCGAAAAAAAGGGUAGGAGAUGGCUCGAUUGCUGUUAAUAUCGAUGCUAUUUCUCUGGGCAGGAUCAAUCCUUAUGGUUCAGGGUGGAGAUCCUACCCUUUUUUUCGAAUGGAACGUCACCUAUGGCACCAUUGCUCCUUUGGGAGUGCCAGUAAAGGGUAUUCUUAUUAACGGACAAUUCCCAGGACCAAAUAUUAACUCUACCACCAACAACAAUAUUGUGAUCCAUGUGUUCAAUAACCUUGAUGAGCCAUUCCUUGUAACAUGG